GACCCCGUGAACCUUUACUACAGCUUGGCACUGAACAUUGACCCUACAUGUGUAGGAUAGGUGGGAGGCUUUGAAGCGCAGUCGCUAGAUUGCGUGGAGCCGUCCUUGAAAUACCACCCUUGUAGUGUUGAUGUUCUAACGUCGACCCCUAAUCGGGGUUGCGGACAGUGCCUGGUGGGUAGUUUGACUGGGGCGGUCUCCUCCCAAAGCGUAACGGAGGAGCACGAAGGUGGGCUAAUCACGGUUGGACAUCGUGAGGUUAGUGCAAUGGCAUAAGCCCGCUUGACUGCGAGAAUGACAAUUCGAGCAGGUGCGAAAGCAGGUCAUAGUGAUCCGGUGGUUCUGAAUGGAAGGGCCAUCGCUCAACGGAUAAAAGGU
rnacentral:rRNA from 1 species